rnacentral:rRNA from 1 species
GACGAACGCUGGCGGCGUGCUUAACACAUGCAAGUCGAACGAAAAGGCCCUGCUUUUGUGGGGUGCUCGAGUGGCGAACGGGUGAGUAACACGUGAGUAACCUGCCCUUGACUUUGGGAUAACUUCAGUAAACUGGGGCUAAUACCGGGUAGGAGCUCCUGCUGCAUGGUGGGGGUUGGAAAGUUUCGGCGGUUGGGGAUGGACUCGCGGCUUAUCAGCUUGUUGGUGGGGUAGUGGCUUACCAAGGCUUUGACGGGUAGCCGGCCUGAGAGGGUGACCGGCCACAUUGGGACUGAGAUACGGCCCAGACUCCUACGGGCGGCAGCAGUGGGGAAUAUUGCAUAAUGGGCGGAAGCCUGACGCAGCAACGCCGCGUGCGGGAUGACGGCCGUCGGGUUGUAAGCCGCUUUCGCCUGUGACGAAGGGUGAGUGACGGUAAUGGGUAAAGAAGCACCGGCUAACUACGUG